UCAGGCAAACGCAUGACUUCUCGCAGAUGUUUCGCUAAUAAGAUAUUCUUACUAAAAAAAACCCCACCCAACCCUGCUGUUAAACCCUAGAAAUUUGCUUCCAUUUUUCUCGCUGAUAAACCCUUGAAUUUUUACCGUAUUAGAUCCUUCUUAUUUGAUCAUACAUGAAAGGGAGAAUAGGAUCCCAAUUUUUUCAAACACAAAGGGUCUUUGGAGCAAUCAGCCAUGGAUUUGAGGGAAUCAAUCCUAAUUUAUAUCCUUCUUAUUUGAUCGAUUUCUCAUAGUGGAGGACCUCAGUUGAGCUUUGUUAAUGGAUUUUGGGUUGAUAAGAGUUACGGUCUCAAGGCUUGACUUCUUAACACGGUGAAUUCGAUUUACUAGACUAGCCCUAAGCCUGCGAAUUUCCAGGAAAAGGGCAGUGAUCCAUUUUGAUGUUUACACCAUCUAAACCAGUCAAGGUCACUUGCACUUUGGUAUCA